GCCAGAGCCAUAUCUCCCUGAAGUUCUUGCCUGGUUUCGUACUGAAGCUAAGCAGGGUUGAGCCUGGCCAAUACCUGGUUGGGAGACCUCCUGGGGAAAACUAUGGUUGCUGCUGGAA
rnacentral:rRNA from 1 species